AUGGUGAUUUUUUUAAAGAUAGUUUUUGGGCCUGCUCUGAUUCUAUGUUAUUCUCUGGCGUUUUCUAGUGGGCGGACUUGGAGGCUGCUGGCCUGGGAAUGCCAGUGGGUCAGAGCGUGGCUACAGCACCGUGAAAUGGAGCACCUGCCCCCAGUCCUCUCAGCGUGUGCAGGCCUGGGCCUGUGUGGGGGAACCUGUGGCCCUGUCCUCUCUGCUGAGGCAAUCAAGGGUGGUGUCUGGGAGCACACCUGUCCCCUGGCACCUGCCAGGUGUCUGUCAGACCUCAGCCAUUACUGGGCUGCCUCAGCCCUGCACUCCCCCACUGCUGGAUGUGUGGCAGAUGAGGCACUUCACUUCAGUCUGUGUCUUGAGGCGGUGCCCAGGCCUUCCUGCUGCACCAAGGGAAAACCUGUAUUGAUCACAGCUGCACUAAUAACAGAGGAAGUCAUUCAGAAAAACAAGUGGCCAACAGGGGAAAGUUGUGGUUCCCUAAACAGAAGACUUCAUUCUGGAAAAACAGCCUUUACUCCAAGGAAUGCAGUCAUCUUACCUCAUUGGAGUUGUUAUAGAAAAACUCAUCCUCAUCACCAGAGGCAAAUGAUUUCUUGCACUGAUGUCAAAUAA
rnacentral:lncRNA from 1 species